AUCAAAAGGCAAAACACAUCAAACGAAUGGAUAACAACUGUCAUAUUCCUGACUUGGUACAGGCAUUUUCUAAUGUAGAAAAUGGUGGAUUGAACCUGGUUUUAUAGCUAGCUAAACCUCUCACUUGUAUGACAGUCGCAUCAAAUUCCAUUACAUUGUCAACGAUGCAUGAACAAGACAAACAUACUCAAAGAGUAAAAAUGUCAAAAAUAGGG
rnacentral:lncRNA from 1 species